rnacentral:sRNA from 1 species
AUUUGUGGAGAGGGAAGUCACCAGAAGGCGUAGCCUUGGGGGCGUGCACAAGGACUUUGAAUGGGGGCCCCCCUGACCUUCCCUCGACGUGGCCGUGGCCUGCAGGAGGAUGGGCAGGGACUCUGAGUGGGCGAGGGUCGGAGCUGACCGCCCGCUUCCCUCCCCAAGGCUCUAGCAGCCUGGGCUUCACCUCCAGCCCCUCCCCUUUCUCCUCCUCGUCGCCCGAAAACGUGGAGGAUUCCGGCCUGGACUCUCCGUCCCACGCGGCACCUGGCCCCUCCCCAGAUUCCUGGGUCCCCCGCCCAGGCACCCCGCAGAGCCCGCCCAGCUGUAGGGCGCCACCCCCAGAGGCCAGGGGUAUCCGGGCACCGCCUCUGCCAGACUCGCCGCAGCCCCUCGCCUCGUCUCCAGGCCCCUGGGGGCUGGAGGCCUUGGCCGGAGGAGACCUGAUGCCUGCACCUGCUGACCCCACAGCCAGGGAGGGCCUGGCAGCCCCACCCAGGAGACUUCGCUCUAGGAAGGUGUCCUGCCCUCUCACACGUAGCAAUGGGGACCUGUCUCGUUCCCUGAGCCCCUCCCCACUGGGCUCUUCAGCUGCCAGCACUGCCUUGGAACGGCCCAGCUUCUUAUCCCAGACAGGACACGGAGUCUCCCGGGGUCCGAGCCCCGUGGUCCUGGGCUCCCAGGAUGCCCUGCCCAUAGCCACAGCCUUCACGGAGUACGUCCACGCCUACUUCCGUGGCCACAGCCCCAGCUGCCUGGCUCGAGUAACUGGGGAGCUGACCAUGACCUUCCCUGCUGGCAUCGUGCGUGUGUUCAGCGGGACCCCACCACCACCUGUCCUCAGCUUCCGGCUUGUACACACAACUCCUAUUGAGCACUUCCAGCCCAACGCCGAUCUGCUGUUCAG